rnacentral:rRNA from 1 species
AUGAACGCUGGUGGCGUGCCUAAUACAUGCAAGUCGAGCGAACAGACGAGGAGCUUGCUCCUCUGACGUUAGCGGCGGACGGGUGAGUAACACGUGGAUAACCUACCUAUAAGACUGGGAUAACUUCGGGAAACCGGAGCUAAUACCGGAUAAUAUAUUUAACCGCAUGGUUCAAUAGUGAAAGACGGUUUUGCUGUCACUUAUAGAUGGAUCCGCGCCGCAUUAGCUAGUUGGUAAGGUAACGGCUUACCAAGGCAACGAUGCGUAGCCGACCUGAGAGGGUGAUCGGCCACACUGGAACUGAGACACGGUCCAGACUCCUACGGGAGGCAGCAGUAGGGAAUCUUCCGCAAUGGGCGAAAGCCUGACGGAGCAACGCCGCGUGAGUGAUGAAGGUCUUCGGAUCGUAAAACUCUGUUAUUAGGGAAGAACAAAUGUGUAAGUAACUAUGCACGUCUUGACGGUACCUAAUCAGAAAGCCACGGCUAACUACGUG